GUGGGGAAUAUUGGACAAUGGGCGAAAGCCUGAUCCAGCCAUGCCGCGUGUGUGAAGAAGGUCUUCGGAUUGUAAAGCACUUUAAGUUGGGAGGAAGGGCAGUAAGUUAAUACCUUGCUGUUUUGACGUUACCGACAGAAUAAGCACCGGCUAACUUCGUGCCAGCAGCCGCGGUAAUACGAAUGGUGCAAGCGUUAAUCGGAAUUACUGGGCGUAAAGCGCGCGUAGGUGGUUUUGUAAGUUGGAGGUGAAAUCCCCGGGCUCAACCUGGGAACUGCCUCCAAAACUGCAUGACUAGAGUACGGUAGAGGGUAGUGGAAUUUCCUGUGUAGCGGUGAAAUGCGUAGAUAUAGGAAGGAACACCAGUGGCGAAGGCGACUACCUGGACUGAUACUGACACUGAGGUGCGAAAGCGUGGGGAGCAAACAGGAUUAGAAACCCGAGUAGUCC
rnacentral:rRNA from 1 species